GACCUCAGGGCUAGAGCCCUAGAUUAAAAAUAGUAGUCUGAAGUGAUUAGAAGGUCCAUGGGAAUGGAAGCUUUCAGAAGGAGGAAGGGUCAGGUCUGUCUUGGAGAACUCAUCCCCACAGAAGCAAGAGGGAGGCUGCGCCAGUAACUCCUGUGGGAGGUCUAGCUGGGAAGCCAUCUUUGGCAGCACAGCCCUACCCCAGGAUUUCAGCCCAUCACAAGGACUAGCUCGGCUCCUGCCUCUAGUGCUUCAGUCUGCUUGAAAACUCAGACAUCAAUAAGGCAGUUAAGGUAGGUGAUAUCGUUAGGUAUUAUUUACCUGUUAAGGUUAAGGCACAUCUUCCUUUUCUGUGAAAAUCAAACUCCUUUU
rnacentral:lncRNA from 1 species